rnacentral:lncRNA from 1 species
UUCUUGGUUUCCAGGGCCUAUAUUUGGAGUGCAAGGGUUCUGGAAGUUUCUGUAUGUCCUGGAAGUAAUGUGGAUGUGGUAAGAGAACUGGAAAAGAGCAGAGAUCAGGAAGCAGAGGCUGAAGAGUGAGAAGAACACCAGCACUAGAGGCCACCACUGGGAGGUCAGCAGUGCUUUAAACAAAACUACUCGCUACCAGAGGAUGUGGAUGUUUUGCUGGGAAGUAUACUGCAAAUUAUGCCUAACAGCAGACAGACUGGGCUGCUGUUGACAAAGACAGACUCAGGUUUGGUUAUUUCAUGGUUGUGGUUGUUCAUAAGGAAAGAAACAAUUCUUUUGGAUUACAAAUAAUUUGCUUUUUUUUUUAACUGACUGAUAGACUCUAAAAUAAGUUAAGAAUGCACUUUUAAAUUAUAUAAGGCCUUUCCCCAGAACUUGACAAAACUUAAAUAUCACUACCAAUUUUAGUCAGUCAAAUACUUCAAAAAGUGCUAUUUACAUUUAACAGAUAACGAAAUUAAAACUAUUGUAAAAAUUGUUUUGGCAUUAACAUAUUAUAACUGGAUAAGUAAUUGAUCCCGAGAAUUCCAAUCAAGAAAUCUCCAGAGACCCAAUCACCCUCGGGAAGGGGAAACACAGUUACUUUGCCAU